rnacentral:rRNA from 1 species
AGAGUUUGAUCCUGGCUCAGAUUGAACGCUGGCGGUAGGCUUAACACAUGCAAGUCGAGCGAGAAAGUAUCUUCGGAUAUGAGUAGAGCGGCGGACGGGUGAGUAACGCGUAGGAAUCUACCUAGUAGAAGGGGAUAGCCCGGGGAAACUCGGAUUAAUACCGUAUACCUCCUAAGGGAGAAAGAGGGCCUCUCUUGAAGCUCUCGCUACUAGAUGAGCCUGCGUAAGAUUAGCUUGUUGGUAAGGUAAUGGCUUACCAAGGCUACGAUCUUUAGCUGGUCUGAGAGGACGAUCAGCCACAUUGGGACUGAGACACGGCCCAGACUCCUACGGGAGGCAGCAGUGGGGAAUAUUGGACAAUGGGCGCAAGCCUGAUCCAGCCAUACCGCGUGUGUGAAGAAGGCCUUCGGGUUGUAAAGCACUUUAAGCAGGGAGAAAAAGCAAUAAGUUAAUACCUUAUUGCCGUGAUGUUACCUGCAGAAUAAGCACCGGCUAAUUCCGUGCCAGCAGCCGCGGUAAUACGGAAGGUGCAAGCGUUAAUCGGAAUUACUGGGCGUAAAGCGCGCGUAGGUGGUCUGUUAAGUUGGAUGUGAAAGCCCUGGGCUCAACCUAGGAACUGCAUCCAAAACUAACUCACUAGAGUACGAUAGAGGGAGGUAGAAUUCAUAGUGUAGCGGUGGAAUGCGUAGAUAUUAUGAAGAAUACCAGUGGCGAAGGCGGCCUCCUGGAUCUGUACUGACACUAAGGUGCGAAAGCGUGGGUAGCGAACAGGAUUAGAUACCCUGGUAGUCCACGCCGUAAACGAUGACNACUAGCUGUUGGGAGAC